rnacentral:rRNA from 1 species
UACGUAGGGGGCAAGCGUUGUUCGGAUUCAUUGGGCGUAAAGGGUGCGUAGGCGGCGCGGUAAGUCGGGUGUGAAAUCUCGGAGCUUAACUCCGAAACUGCAUUCGAUACUGCCGUGCUUGAGGACUGGAGAGGAGACUGGAAUUUACGGUGUAGCGGUGAAAUGCGUAGAUAUCGGGAGGAACACCUGUGGCGAAAGCGGCGCACUGGACCACAACUGACGCUGAGGAGCGAAAGCAUGGGGAGCGAACAGG